CCUACGGGAGGCAGCAGCAAGGAAUUUUCCGCAAUGGGCGAAAGCCUGACGGAGCAACGCCGCGUGGGGGAGGACGCUUUUCGGAGUGUAAACCUCUUUUCUUGGGGACGACGAACGACGGUACCCGAGGAAUAAGGACCGGCUAACUACGUGCCAGCAGCCGCGGUAAUACGUAGGGUCCGAGCGUUGUCCGGAGUUACUGGGCGUAAAGCGCGCGCAGGCGGCUUGAUAAGUCUGGCGUGAAAGCCCCCGGCUCAACCGGGGAGGGUCGUCGGAGACUGUGAAGCUUGAGGGCGGUAGGGGCUGGUGGAAUUCCCGGUGUAGUGGUGAAAUGCGUAGAGAUCGGGAGGAACACCUGUGGCGAAGGCGGCCAGCUGGGCCGACCCUGACGCUGAGGCGCGAAGGCGUGGGGAGCGAACGGGAUUAGAUACCCCGGUAGUCCACGCAGUAAACGAUGCAGACUAGGCGUGGGGGGACUUGACCCCCUCCGUGCCGGAGCUAACGCGGUAAGUCUGCCGCCUGGGGAGUACGGCCGCAGCUAACUACAAGAAGUAG
rnacentral:rRNA from 1 species